GAGUGGGAAAGCUCAACUUUAAAAUCUGGCAGCUUCGCUGUCCGAGUUGUAGUCUCGAGAAGUGUUUUCCGCGCUGGAUCGUGUAUGAGUCUGUUGGAAUACAGCGUCAUAGAGGGUGAGAACCCCGUUCAUGACACGACUACCAGUGCUUUGUGAUACACUUUCGAUGAGUCGAGUUGUUUGGGAAUGCAGCUCAAAAUGGGUGGUAAAUUCCAUCUAAAGCUAAAUAUUGGCGAGAGACCGAUAGCAAACAAGUACCGUGAGGGAAAGAUGAAAAGCACUUUGGAAAGAGAGUUAACAGUACGUGAAAUUGUCUAAAGGGAAACGCUUGAAGUCAGACGUGCGCGGUGCGAUUCAGCCUUGGUUCGCCAGGGUGUACUUCGUACCAUUGCAGGCCAGCAUCGGUUUUGCGAGCCGGAUAAAGGUUACAGAAAGGUASCGGCCCAAGCCGUGUUAUAGUCUCAAACUGAAUACUGAUUGUGAGACCGAGGGACUCASCGCGCCGCAAGGCAAAGGGUUCGCCCUUUUCKCGCUUAUGAUGCUGGWGAAAUGGCUUUAAACUACCCGUCUUGAAACACGGACCAA
rnacentral:rRNA from 1 species